rnacentral:rRNA from 1 species
AGUGAACGCUGGCGGCGUGCCUAAUACAUGCAAGUCGAACGGAGUGGCGCACGGGUGUGAAAUAUAUAGCUAAUCUGCCCCUUGCUGGAGGACAACAGUUAGAAAUGACUGCUAAUACUCCAUAGCAAGGGAUGAGACUAUAUCGUAUCAGCUAGUCGGUGGGGUAACGGCCUACCGAGGCUAUGACGAGUAACUGGUCUGUGAGGAUGAUCAGGCACAUCGGAACGGAGACACGGUCCAGACUCCUACGGGAAGGAGCAGUAGGGAAUAUCGCGCAAUGGGGGAAACUCUGACGCGGCAACGCCGCGUGGAGGAUGACACUUUGCGGAGCGUAAACUCCUUUUGUUAGGGAAGCGGUACCUAACGAAUAAGCACCGGCUAACUCCGUGCCAGCAGCCGCGGUAAUUC